rnacentral:lncRNA from 1 species
GACUAAAGUCUCCACGCCAUGUCAGGAUGCUAAGCUAAAGCUAGCUGUGAACUCUCUGCACUAAGCCACUCAAACGACGUGUUACGGAGUAUUCCGAUCAUAAAAUACGGAGCUAAAGUGUUAUAUUAGACAGCCACGUGAUGUAUAAGGACUUUUGAGGCGCUGUGACGUCAGCAGGACGCCUCUCUAUGGAGAAUCCUGCAGAGCAGCAUCACUUCCACCUGACCUGCCCCCAUCGAUGACGGCCAGACGUCAGAGCUCGUGUUUCUCUCUGCUCCAGCGUUAUCGUCCACUCUAGUGGAACUGAAGGG